rnacentral:rRNA from 1 species
GACGAACGCUGGCGGCGUGCUUAACACAUGCAAGUCGUACGAUGACCCGGCUCUUCGGAGCUGGUGAUUAGUGGCGAACGGGUGAGUAACACGUGGGUGACCUGCCCUGCACUCUGGGAUAAGCCCGGGAAACUGGGUCUAAUACUGGAUACGACCAGUGGCCGCAUGGUCUGCUGGUGGAAAGCCCUUCGGGGUGGUGUGGGAUGGGCCCGCGGCCUAUCAGCUUGUUGGUGGGGUGAUGGCCUACCAAGGCGACGACGGGUAGCCGGCCUGGGAGGGUGUCCGGCCACACUGGGACUGAGACACGGCCCAGACUCCUACGGGAGGCAGCAGUGGGGAAUCUUGCACAAUGGGCGAAAGCCUGAUGCAGCGACGCCGCGUGAGGGAUGACGGCCUUCGGGUUGUAAACCUCUUUCGGCAGGGAACAAGCCUGGGGGUUUUCUUCUGGGUGAGGGUACCUGCGGAAGAAGCACCGGCUAACUACGUG